rnacentral:rRNA from 1 species
GUGGGGAAUAUUGGACAAUGGGCGAAAGCCUGAUCCAGCCAUGCCGCGUGUGUGAAGAAGGUCUUCGGAUUGUAAAGCACUUUCAGUUGGGAGGAAGGGCAGUAAGUUAAUACCUUGCUGUUUUGACGUUACCGACAGAAUAAGCACCGGCUAACUUCGUGCCAGCAGCCGCGGUAAUACGAAGGGUGCAAGCGUUAAUCGGAAUUACUGGGCGUAAAGCGCGAGUAGGUGGUUUUGUAAGUUGGAGGUGAAAUCCCCGGGCUCAACCUGGGAACUGCCUCCAAGACUGCAUGGCUAGAGUACGGUAGAGGGUAGUGGAAUUUCCUGUGUAGCGGUGAAAUGCGUAGAUAUAGGAAGGAACACCAGUGGCGAAGGCGACUACCUGGACUGAUACUGACACUGAGGUGCGAAAGCGUGGGGAGCAAACAGGAUUAGAAACCCCUGUAGUCC